AAGAUCAUACUUUUAGGGAUCAUUUCUAUAGUAUGUAUCGUUCUCUUACGACACACUAGUGUCCCCACACCUAACCACGAUGAAGAGUCGUAGCGUUUCCCUCUGAGCGCGAAGCGGACUUCGAGUGUUAUCUUCUCGAUAACUCGCUCGUCGUCAUUGAUGACCGUUCCUCUUCUUCCUUUGCGAGGAAAAGGAGGAGGGAAACGCAUUCUGAGUGGU
rfam:Strongylocentrotus purpuratus Contig77255_fixed, whole genome shotgun sequence.